UGAAGUAACAGCGGUACUGUGGCUGUCUAGUAAACAGGAGAUCCUGGGUUGAAAUCCCAGCAGUA